AGGGAGUUUUUCCUAGCCACCAUGCUUCUACACCUGCAUUGCUUGCAGUUUGGGGUUUUAGGCUGGGUUUCUGUACAGCACUUUGAGAUAUCAGCUGAUGUACGAAGGGCUAUAUAAAUACAUUUGAUUUGAUUUGAUUUGAUUCAUUCCACCGAUUCUGUUGAAAAACGUUUCUUAAACAGAACCAAAUGAAACAGGGAUAAAAAUACCUGAAUUUGUCCAAUAUGAACUCUUGUUUGCAACUGUUGGACUAAUGAUUACACCCUAGAUAAGCUAGAUGCAGGCAAGAGUGUGCAAGGUGGUAUUGAAUGUGUCAAUGUCUGUCCAUGUGUCACCACACAUUUUUUUUCAACCUGUGUGCACCUAUGUUGUAAACUUUCAUUCACAAGCUAGGUUGCAGCAACCUCAUGAUGGAUAUAGGGGAAAUUAGAGUCGGUGACAACUUAGGCGUCUUAGCUAAUAACCAACUUUAGCUAAACACAACAAUGCGUUUUGCAAUUACUUUAUCAUGUUAGCUAGCCAUACUCUAACCCUAACCAUAGCAUAUCCCUAACCCUUAACCUAUCCCUAACCUUUAACUACCCCUAACCCUAACCUUAUCCUACUAGCUAACAUUAGCCACUAAGGUUAAUGCAACAGCGACACUUCUGUAAAACGCAAUGAAGUGACAGUUGAACGCCAUUCAGGGUGACUUGUGGUAUUGGACCAUACUUCUGUUUCAUUUCUCCAUCUCUUUCUAUGCUUUCUCUCUGACACUCUCCAUUUUCCUCUUUCUUCUCCAUGUAUCCCUCCUCUCACCUCCUCUCCUGCACCUCCUGGAUGUUCUCAAUCCCGAUGGCGCUGCUCCGUCUGGCACUGAAGGACACAGGGUUCUUCCUGUUGGGGCUCUUCCCAGGAAUGAUCAGAGACUGGGGAGGAGUGGCUAGGCACUGCUGCGACACCUACUGGGAUUUUCCCUGGGACAAGUAAUGACUGAACCACACAGGGGAGGAGGAAGCAGAGAAAGAGAAAGGGA
ensembl:lncRNA